rnacentral:rRNA from 1 species
CCUCCCUACGGGGCGCAGCAGUGAGGAAUAUUGGUCAAUGGACGCAAGUCUGAACCAGCCAUGCCGCGUGCAGGAUGACGGCUCUAUGAGUUGUAAACUGCUUUUGUACGAGGGUAAACCCCGAUACGUGUGUCGGGUUGAAAGUAUCGUACGAAUAAGGAUCGGCUAACUCCGUGCCAGCAGCCGCGGUAAUACGGAGGAUCCGAGCGUUAUCCGGAUUUAUUGGGUUUAAAGGGAGCGUAGGCGGGUUGAUAAGUUAGAGGUGAAAUGUCGGGGCUCAACCCCGAAACUGCCUCUAAUAAUGG